rnacentral:rRNA from 1 species
CCUACGGGAGGCUGCAGUGGGGAAUAUUGGACAAUGGGCGAAAGCCUGAUCCAGCCAUGCCGCGUGUGUGAAGAAGGCCUUCGGGUUGUAAAGCACUUUCAGUGGGGAACAAAGCCUUGGGGCUAAUACCCUCGAGGAAGGACAUCACCCACAGAAGAAGCACCGGCUAACUCCGUGCCAGCAGCCGCGGUAAUACGGAGGGUGCGAGCGUUAAUCGGAAUUACUGGGCGUAAAGCGCGCGUAGGCGGUCUGAUAAGCCGGUUGUGAAAGCCCCGGGCUCAACCUGGGAACGGCAUCCGGAACUGUCAGGCUAGAGUGCAGGAGAGGAAGGUAGAAUUCCCGGUGUAGCGGUGAAAUGCGUAGAGAUCGGGAGGAAUACCAGUGGCGAAGGCGGCCUUCUGGACUGACACUGACGCUGAGGUGCGAAAGCGUGGGUAGCAAACAGGAUUAGAUACCCCGGUAGUC